ACGCUAGCUACAGGCUUAACACAUGCAAGUCGUGGGGCAGCGGAUGCUUAGCUUGCUAAGUAUGCCGGCGGCCGGCGCACGGGUGAGUAACGCGUACCGAACCUGCCCAUCACACAGGGAUAGGCUUGCGAAAGCAAGAUUAAUACCUGAUGGUCUCAGUUGUAUGCAUGUAUGAUUGAGUAAAGCCUUCGGGCGGUGAUGGAUGGCGGUGCGUCCCAUUAGGAAGUUGGCGGGGUAACGGCCCACCAAUCCUUCGAUGGGUAGGGGUUCUGAGAGGAAGGUCCCCCACAUUGGAACUGAGAUACGGUCCAAACUCCUACGGGAGGCAGCAGUGAGGAAUAUUGGUCAAUGGGCGAGAGCCUGAACCAGCCAAGUAGCGUGCGGGAUGAAGGCCCUUGUGGUCGUAAACCGCUUUUAUCAGUGAAUAAAGUGCAUCACGUGUGGUGUCGUUGCAGGUAGCUGAAGAAAAAGGACCGGCUAAUUCCGUGCCAGCAGCCGCGGUAAUACGGAAGGUCCGGGCGUUAUCCGGAAUUAUUGGGUUUAAAGGGAGCGCAGGCGGGAGUAUAAGUCAGCUGUUAAAUAUCAGGGCCCAACUCUGUUAUGCAGUUGAAACUAUAUUUCUUGAGUACGCACAGGGAUGGCGGAAUUCAGGGUGUAGCGGUGAAAUGCUUAGAUAUCCUGAAGAACUCCGAUCGCGAAGGCAGCCAUCCGGAGCGUAACUGACGCUGAGGCUCGAAGGUGCGGGUAUCGAACAGGAUUAGAUACCCUGGUAGUCCGCACGGUAAACGAUGAAUACUCGCAGUUCGGCCUUUUAGGUCGAGUUGUCCAGCGAAAGCGUUAAGUAUUCCACCUGGGGAGUACGCCGGCAACGGUGAAACUCAAAGGAAUUGACGGGGGCCCGCACAAGCGGA
rnacentral:rRNA from 1 species